UCCCAGAUGGUCUGGUAUCAGUUAUAAGAGAUGGUCCUGGCGAAGCUGUUGUAUCAGCACUUGAACAGACUACGGAAACCCCAGAACUUGUAUGGACACCAGCGAUGGCAGCUUCUCUAUCUGCACAGAUUUCAACGAUGGCAUCUGACCUAUAUCGUGAACAAAUGAAAGGACGUGUUGUUGAUUGGGAUGUACCUGAGCAGGCAUCUGCACAGCAAGAAAUGAGAGAUGAGCCUCAGGUUCACUUGUUCAUGCUCAUUCAUGAUUUUAGAAUUAUUUUUUCAUGUUCUUUAUCUCACAGAUUUAGGGUCAUGUAGGUUGGCGGAAUUUAUGUCCGGCUGUUUCUUAAAGAUCCAAAAUUUCCUUUGAGAAAUCCAAAGAGAUUCUUGGAAGGACUGCUGGAUCAGUAUUUGUCAUCAAUUGCUGCCACACAUUAUGACACCCAAGCUAUUGACCCAGAGCUUCCUUUGCUUCUCUCUGCUGCUUUGGUUUCAUUAUUGCGAGUACACCCUGCUCUUGCAGACCACGUCGGAUAUCUUGGUUAUGUGCCCAAACUUGUGGCUGCUGUGGCUUAUGAGGGAAGACGAGAAACCAUGUCAACGGAGGAGGUGAAAAAUGGUAACUCUGAAGCAGAUAGAACAUAUGAAUCGGAUGAUGGAUCUGCGCAGCCUGUACAAACUCCUCAAGAACGUGUCCGCCUUAGUUGUUUGCGGGUCUUGCAUCAACUUGCUGCUAGUACUACCUGUGCGGAAGCUAUGGCUGCUGCUGUACGGCCAAGGCGGAUGUACGGUACAGCAGUUUUAAUUUAUGAUCUGAAGGAUUCAAAUGGCUUUUUAUACGAGGCAUUAUCAAAGGAACUUUAUGUUGGCAAUGUUUACUUGAGGGUCUAUAAUGAUCAGCCUGAUUUUGAGAUCACUGAACCAGAAGCCUUCUGUGUUGCUUUAAUUGAUUUUAUAUCGUAUCUUGUGCACAAUCAAUCUGCUACAAAGUCAGAUGUCCAGGGUGAAGAAAGUCUGGAUGGCUUAUCCUCGAAGAUUGUUCAGGAUAAACUUAGUCUUGAUCCCUCAUCCUCAAAGACGUUUGAGCUUCCAAGUGAUGCUACUGAUUCAUCAAUGAAUGAACGGAAAGUUAAUGAUGAGUCCUUAGCCGUAUCUGACAGAAAAGUGACUGGCAAGGAAGAUUCUGUAAUGAUUAAAAAUCUUCAGUUUGGUUUGACCUCACUUCAGGUACGGUUGUGUUUUGCGCAUUCAAGUUGUUAACAAUUCAUUGUAUAUGAUUUUGUUUCUUUUUUUCCCUUUUUUUUUUUUUUUUUUGCAUUUCCAAUUCGCAGAACAUAUUGACAAGCAAUCCAAAUUUGGCAUCCAUAUUUUCUACCAAAGAAAAGCUAUUGCCUCUUUUUGAAUGCUUUUCUGUGCCAUUUGCACCAGACAGCAACAUUCCUCAGCUUUGCCUGAAUGUGCUGUCUCUCUUGACAACAUGCGCUUCCUGCUUGGAGGCUAUGGUGGCAGAUGGAUCUAGUCUUCUCCUUUUAUUACAGAUGCUUCAUUAUGCACCAGCUUGUCGUGAGGGGGUUCUUCAUGUUCUUUAUGCUUUGGCAAGCACGCCAGAACUUGCUUGGGCAGCUGCCAAGCAUGGUGGAGUGGUUUACAUUCUUGAACUUCUCCUGCCUUCACAACGUAAUGAAUUUAUUCUUGUGCCUUAUUUUUUUCCCAAUCUUAUCUUUUGAAAAGCAAUUUAUUUGUUAAUAUAAUUGGUGAUGUGCAGAAGAAAUUCCAUUGCAGCAAAGAGCUGCAGCAGCCUCUUUAUUGGGGAAGCUUGUUGGGCAACCAAUGCAUGGGCCUAGAGUUGCUAUAACACUAGCAAGGUUUCUCCCAGAUGGUCUGGUAUCAGUUAUAAGAGAUGGUCCUGGCGAAGCUGUUGUAUCAGCACUUGAACAGACUACGGAAACCCCAGAACUUGUAUGGACACCAGCGAUGGCAGCUUCUCUAUCUGCACAGAUUUCAACGAUGGCAUCUGACCUAUAUCGUGAACAAAUGAAAGGACGUGUUGUUGAUUGGGAUGUACCUGAGCAGGCAUCUGCACAGCAAGAAAUGAGAGAUGAGCCUCAGGUUCACUUGUUCAUGCUCAUUCAUGAUUUUAGAAUUAUUUUUUCAUGUUCUUUAUCUCACAGAUUUAGGGUCAUGUAGGUUGGCGGAAUUUAUGUCCGGC
rnacentral:lncRNA from 1 species